GACCUCAAAUCAGGUAAGAAUACCCGCUGAACUUAAGCAUAUCAAUAAGCGGAGGAAAAGAAAAUAACAAUGAUUCCCUCAGUAACGGCGAGCGAAGAGGGAUAAGCUCAAAUUUUAAAUCUGUUGGGUUCCACUUAACAGAGUUGUAUUUUGAAGAAACGUUUUCUGCAUCCAGGAUUAGCCUAAAUCCUUUGGGAUAAGGUAUCAUGGAGGGUGAGAAUCCCGUUCAUGGUUAAUCUUAAGGAAGCUCUACGAUACGUUUUCCAAGAGUCGAGUUGUUUGGGAUUGCAGCUCAAAAUGGGAGGUAAAUUUCUCCUAAGGCUAAAUAUUGGCGAGAGACCGAUAGCGAACAAGUACCGUGAGGGAAAGAUGAAAAGAACUUUGAAAAGAGAGUUAAACAGUACGUGAAAUUGUUGAAAGGGAAACGAUUGAAGUCAGUCAUACCAACGGGAAAUCAACCUUUUGAGUUUGGUCUCGUGGGUUUUGAAGAGUUUCAAAGCCUUCGGAUUCGCGGGAUUGGGAUCUCUUGGUGUACUUUUUCGUACGGUUAGUCAACAUCGGUUUUGAAUGUCAUAAAAUGACUGGAGGAAUGUAGCUUCGAUCUCGUAUUGAAGUGUUAUAGCCUUUGGUAGAUGUGAUGUUUGAGACCGAGGAUUGCAACGGAUACCCUUCAGGGCUAUUCGUCUGAUCUCUGAUACGUUGCCUUGAUGUUGAAAGCUUGCUUAUGAUGUUAGGGUAUUACGGUCAAAAGGUUAGAACGGAUUAGAUUCGUUAAGGAUGUUGACGUAAUGACUUUAAACGACCCGUCUUGAAACACGGACCAAGGAGUCUAACAUAUAUGCGAGUGUUUGGGUGAUUAAACCCUUGCGCGUAAUGAAAGUAAUUUUGGUGAGAUCCGGGAAAAAAUUUUCGGAGCAUCAUCGACCGAUCAGGAUAUUU
rnacentral:rRNA from 1 species